rnacentral:rRNA from 1 species
GUCUACAGCUAUGCCACCCUGAACAAGCCUGAUCCCAUUUGAUCCCAUUUGGAAGCUAAGCAGGUUCAGGCCUGGUUAGUACUUGGAUAGGAGACCACCUAGGAAGAUCAGAUGCUGUAGGCG